GCAAGCUGCAGAGCUCAAGCCUGGACUUGGGGCCCCCACGUGCUGCCAGGGGAGGGUCUGGGCCCAGGUGGCCCCUCUCCUGAGACCUUAAGAGAAUCAGAUUCCCAAGGAAAUCUCAAGGUUUUUGCAUGUUGACAAUAGAUUCACUUUUUCCCCAAAACACAGGAGGGAUGAACUAGACACCUUCCUGGCUGGUUUUGGUCCACGGUGUAAACUCUGACUCACAGAAAAUCAUUCUGCAAAGUCGCGGAUUCUUUACCCGCUGAGUCAAGGGGGAAGCUCGCAUAUACAGAUGGAUGUGUGCAUUUAGGAAAUUUGUGCCUUACAACCACUCUGCGAUUAUCUUCGUUCUACAGGUCCUCCUCUGACCUCCGAGGAUGUCUGCUUGUUGGCCGUCCAGCAACUCGAACCCCACCGAGUGCCUCCCUGAGCUCCGUGCUGCGUGAGGACUUACUCAUUUGCUCCUCACGCUGGUCCUGUUCUAUUUCUAAACUGGGAAACAGGCGCAGAGUGGUGAUCAAGUUCAUUAUCUGA
rnacentral:lncRNA from 1 species